AGAAAUCUUACAGGCAAAGGCUAUUCGACAUUUGGGAUUCCUAAGCUAAUCUUUUUAUUUUUGGAAGGGUGUCUUUCUGAGAAAGGCAGCCAGAGGCACAGCACCAACCUUUCUGACAGUGUGGUCUUCACACUGUUAGUUCUGACAAAGGGAGUCAAGGAGUCGUCCUUGGAGGAGGCGAUGAGGCCAGUGGAAGAAUUGUGGCUGGGGACCCCUCCACUGCUGAGGGAGAUGUCGAUGGACUCACAGCUGGUGUGGAGGCUGCUGACAGACUGAAAGCCCAGGCCAUCCUUGCUAACUGCGGAGGAGCUGCUGGCGUUGGUGCCCCAGGGCCAAGACAGCCCCGGCCUCUUACCAGUUCCUGGGGUCUUCAGUGCGCCUGCCGGGGCUGAAGGCUUCGUCCUUGGCAUGGUGAUGCCCACCUGAGCUGUCAUGCCUCGCCGCCAUGAGCCUGUCUGGGAGAUGACAGGAUUCUUCUUGCCCGACGUGCUUUUGUCGGACUCGUCAGACACAUCAGAAGGAUUCCGCCUCCACUUGGAACCUGGCUCCAUUUUUAUGCCGCUGUCUGAGCCUCCGUCUGAUUUCUUGACAUCAUCACCAGACCACAGGGAAUUCCUCUCCACCUGUGAGUGCUUCUCAGCAUCAGUCUGUGGACAGAGACUCUCUGAAUUAGUCCUUCCCCAGUCCCAGGCUGGGAAGCCCCUCACUCCAAAGGCAAAAAUGCCAAAACACUGGAGUAGUUAAGGGAAAAAUAAGCAUUACUUUAAAGAUGUUUGGACUUUUGUACUCUGGUUAUCUUGUUAGAAAGACUGAUUUUUUUUUUUUGGAAAAAAAAAUAAAAAAGUAAAUAAUA
rnacentral:lncRNA from 1 species